CUUAUUAAAACAAUGUACUGAUCAAAUUAGUCCAUUGACACACUUGGGAAAUUUUUACAAUUUUGCCCCUAUAUUUUGCCAAAAUUACCAAAUUACCCCUAGGCUCGUAAAAUAAUUUUUAUCACAUUUAUUUACUCCUUGAGUCUAGAUGAACCAUUUUCAUAACUAUAGCAACUCAUAAUUUCAACUAUUUCACACAUUUACAACUCAUUUUAUAACUUAGCAAUCUAGCCCUUUUUAAGGUGUUUUCAUGCAAUUUCUUUCACAAAAGUUGUUUAUUAGACAACUAGGACUCAUAAUCUUCCAUAAAAACACAGAAAACAACACAUUUACUCUCAUGGAAAAACCCUAGACUCUUCAUCAUUUUGCAAAAUAGACCCCUCAUAUGAAAGCUCAUGCUUUAGGGGUUCCAAAAAUGUAAAAAUCAUCAAGCAAAGACAUUAAAA
rnacentral:lncRNA from 1 species